rnacentral:rRNA from 1 species
CCUAACACAUGACAAGUCGAACGGAAUACUAAUUAAGAGAAUCUCACACUAGUGAGAGGUUCUCACGAGUAGUAUUUAGUGGCGGACGGGUGAGUAACACGUUGGAACCUGCCCCGAAGUGGGGAAUAACUGCUCGAAAGAGUAGCUAAUACCCCAUAGUAUCCGGUUUAUCCGGAUUAAAGAUUUAUCGCUUCGGGAGGGGCCUGCGUCUGAUUAGCUAGUUGGUGAGGUAAAAGCUCACCAAGGCGACGAUCAGUAGCUGGUUCGAGAGGAUGACCAGCCACACUGGGACUGAGAUACGGCCCAGACUCCUACGGGAGGCAGCAGUGAGGAAUCUUCCACAAUGGGCGCAAGCCUGAUGGAGCAAUACCGCGUGCAGGAAGACGCUUUUCGGAGUGUAAACUGCUUUUGUCGUCGAAGAUUAUGACUGUAGACGAAGAAUAAGGACCGGCUAACUACGUG